UACGGAGGGUGCAAGCGUUAUCCGGAUUCACUGGGCUUAAAGGGUGCGUAGGCGGGCAGGUAAGUCCGGGGUGAAAUCUCUGAGCUUAACUCAGAAACUGCCAUGGAUACUAUCUGUCUUGAAUAUUGUGGAGGUAAGCGGAAUAUGUCAUGUAGCGGUGAAAUGCUUAGAUAUGACAUAGAGCACCAAUUGCGAAGGCAGCUUGCUGGGGCUGCGCUGACGCUGAGACACGAAAGCCAGGGGAGCGAACGGG
rnacentral:rRNA from 1 species